GGAUGUACAAUAUGCAGGUCUAUCUGUGGUUUGAAAAUGUUAUGCAAGUCUGUCUGUGCUGUGAAGAUUUUAUGCAGGUAUAUGUGGUUGGAUAAGAAAUACAAACAUGACUUACUGAAGGGCAAAAGUCGUCGGUAAAUGUUAGCGACAAAGGUUUUACCAACGGUUAUCUUACUGUCGGUAACCCGUCGGUAAUGGCUUCUGACUAUUUCCGUGGGAUUAAUGUCGUCGAUAAUGCC
rnacentral:lncRNA from 1 species